GACCCUGUAGCUCAGCAGGAUAGAGCAGCUGCCUCCUAAGCAGCAGGUCGGAGGUUCGAAUCCUCUCAGGGUCGCCA
rnacentral:tRNA from 1 species